rnacentral:lncRNA from 10 species
GGAUCACGAGGUCAGGAGAUUGAGAGCAUCCUGGCUAACAGGUGAAACCCUGUCUCUACUAAAAAUACAAAAAAGUUAGCUGGGCGUGGUGGCGGGCACCUGUAGUCCCAGCUACUUGGGAGGCUGAGGCAGGAGAAUGGUGUGAACCCGGGAGGCGGAGCUUGCCGAUCUCAGUGAGCUGAGAUCGCACCACUGCACUCCAGCCUGGUCGACAGAGUGAGACUCCGUCUCAAAAAAAAAAAAAAAAAAAAAAAGUACUGCUGGAGCACCUGCUAGAUCCAGUAGGGAAGCAGGCGCAUGCUCUGCCCUCAGGGAGCUUAUAGUCUAGUGAUAAAACAGGAGCUGUGAGUGACAGGAUGAAGUUCACGGUGCCCCGGGAACAGAGAUGAUGGUGGGAUGUUGAUGAAGCCUCACCAAGGAAAUGGUGUUUAGACAAUGAGACAAUGUAGCUGACCUAAGAAACCAGGUCUGCUCAUUUCUGCUGCCAGCGUAAUUUCACAAAGCCCCUCGUUCUGUUACCACAUACAGCUCUUCGAAAAGAAGCUGUGAAGGCAAAAGAGGACAGAGCACACGGCCAGGGGAGGUGGUCCCCAGUGCUCCGCUAAGAAACUGCUUAUCCCAAGGACAACAGGAAUCCAGUCACUGGAGGUGGUGACAUGAUCAGAUGUGCAUUUUAAGAUCAUUCUAGUUCCAAUAUGGACAAUGGAUUAGAGAAGGACAAGAGUGAGGCCUGGAAACCAGUUUUAGGAGGGUCUCACUCUGUCACUUCGUGUGCUGGA